rnacentral:lncRNA from 1 species
CUUGAUUCUUAAACUCUGUGAAGCUCAAAUAGACAACAAAGCUUUGUGGAACUGAUUAAGUGUUAGCAUAAAUAUCUAGCCUUUAUCAUGUUGAGCCUCCUUAAUAAAUAUUACUCCCUAUUUUUAUAUUUUCAUUUUAUAAAGCAGAAAAGAAAUAUUUAUUUUAUUUUUAUGCCACCACAGUGAAUGUACUUAUUGGUUUUAUGCCACUCGUAUCCUCACAUGGGGCUUACUGUUUUUCACAUUUUUAUUUUCUUUUUAGGAUAGUAUGAUCAUAAUUAACUAAGUAAACUAUUUGAAAUAAUUGAAAGAGGAAAGGAUAACUACCAAGUUUACCUCUUGGCAAGGCGUUCGGUAUUUUUAAGUCCUCCGAACGGGACUCUCUGUUUUCUCAUUCGUCAUUGGAUUCGUUGGGUGGCGGAGUCGGUACUUUCGGCGGCGCCUCCUCUUCAUGUAUACUUAUCUUCUCUUUCCAUACCUGACUCGGUGCUACGGUCUCCUCUAGAUAAUUCUGUUUAAACUGAAUGUCUUCUGACCUGACAACUUCCCCUUUAUAGUCUGCCCAUCCGUCCUUGAUGAUUUGCCUCCUCUGGUUGCGGUUGCGUCGUUUCUUGACCUGUUCAGAUUCUUCAACGAUAUAGUUAGGGUCAGUAAAAUAGCGGCGUACCUUCUCUGAGGGGGAGUGCAUAUGGACUUCUCCAGUUCCAAUGCAGAUGAUUGCUUUAACGGUGCUGAGGAACGGUCUUCCAAGGAUAAUGGGUGGAUCAUAUUAAUCUUCUCCCAUGUCAAUAACCUGAAAGUCUGUGUAGACAAAAUGAUCGUCUAUUUUGACUGGGACAUCAGUUACUGUUCCUUUAACUUCUCGAAACAUCUGAUCUGCCAUCUGGAGCUGAAUGUAUGUUGGUUUUAAGGGUAUGGUUCCGAACAAGAGCCGAUAGGUGACUGCGGCCAUUAUGUUGACGCCCGAUCCGGUGUCGCAAAUCGUCUUGUAGAAGUUGUAUCCAUUUAUGGAGCAAUAGAUGCUUGGCAUUCCUAGGUCGUCCUUCUUGGUCAAAAAUGGUGACUUAAGUUGAUGAUCUUGACCUUCAUGAACUGUAGUGACCAUCUUAGCUGACUCGGUCCACACUUGGUUGUUCCUGUUCCUCCUGUUGGUCCUCUUUCUUGAUUAACGUCUAGAU